AACUUUUUCGGCUCCUGAGACAUGAACCACUCCAAGGCUUCACCAUUCAAACUUCGACUGAAUAGGCGCAUCACUAGCGCCUCAUUUUUCCCUAUCCCUACCAGUUGCUCACAGUACCUUCUUAGAUGGGCCAUUGGAUUUCUGGUACCGUCAAACAUCUCAAACUUAGGGACUUUGUACCCUUCUGGUAGAUCUACUCCCGGGUGAACACAUAAAUCGUCAUACCC
rnacentral:lncRNA from 1 species